GCAAGGGCUACCAUGCAAGAAAUGUGCAAUUGAUAACAGAUGCAGAUUUAAAUAUUUUACAUGUGGAUCCCACAUAUGGAGGAGCUACUCACGAUAGCUUCAUUUUUAAUUAUAGUGCUAUCAAAGACCAUUUAGAGGCAUUAACAAAUGCUGGUGAAGAA